GGGAUGUGAUGAGUGGUCUAAACUUGCUAUUAUGCGAGAUGAGUGUCUGCCCCCAAGCCUGUUACGACAUUGGGCACUCAUUUGAACCAUCUGAUCCC